CCUACGGGGUGCAGCAGUGAGGAAUAUUGGUCAAUGGACGAGAGUCUGAACCAGCCAAGUAGCGUGAAGGAUGACUGCCCUAUGGGUUGUAAACUUCUUUUAUAUGGGAAUAAAAUGUUCCACGUGUGGGAUUUUGUAUGUACCAUAUGAAUAAGGAUCGACUAACUCCGUGCCAGCAGCCGCGGUAAUACGGAGGAUCCGAGCGUUAUCCGGAUUUAUUGGGUUUAAAGGGAGCGUAGGUGGAUUGUUAAGUCAGUUGUGAAAGUUUGCGGCUCAACCGUAAAAUUGCAGUUGAAACUGGCAGUCUUGAGUACAGUAGAGGUGGGCGGAAUUCGUGGUGUAGCGGUGAAAUGCUUAGAUAUCACGAAGAACUCCGAUUGCGAAGGCAGUUCACUGGACUGCAACUGACACUGAGGCUCGAAAGUGUGGGUAUCAAACAGGAUUAGAUACCCGGGUAGUC
rnacentral:rRNA from 1 species